ACCAAGAGUAUAAUUCUUCCUCUAUGGGCCAAAAUCCUUGAUCUGUCACCCCAGGUCCAGGCAACUGACUAGGGACAACUCUAUUCCCCUGAGACUGUUACUCCUGUCCUUUCUAUGCCUUCUGGUCCUGCCAUGUUUGCUCUUUUCCAUGGAAACCAUCUCUAGCCAGGCUAGCCUCGAACUCCUGGGAUGAAGCAGUUCUGCUAUCUCACCGUCCUAAGAAGCUGGGACUACAGUUACAUACGAUCAUGCCAGACAUAGACCGUUCCUCUUACUGUGAAUUUAAAGCUGGUUUACUGCUCAGCCAGGAGAGAUUUCUACACAGUCUCCCUGGAUCAGCCCCUAGGCCGUGGGUGAGACUAGGCUGGAGCCUGAAGACUGGAGCCUGGCCUUUUCCACCCACACCCAGAGACACCACUGAAGCGAGCUCAGUCUUCAUGAGAUUCGACCUCCAUGGCUAAAAAUCGGGUCACGACACACAGCUCUUAGCCAUAGAGUUGAAUUGGCUGUUCAUGGCACACCUCAAAGAAUUAUCCUUUGCCUGCCACCGAAGAAAGAGUCACCCUGGGUAGACAUCCCUGUGGAACAGCUGACUCACCAUCCCCUGCCAACAAGCAGCUGGGGGAUCAGCAACUCUCCACUGUUCUCAGUGAUGUCUCAAAUGCUUGUCCUUGAUCAGAAGGUUCUGCAUAGUCCAGCUUCCAAGUGUUUGUUUUCACAAAUGAUGUGGUCUGAUGGCCCCAUGUGCUCCAGGCUGCAAUUCCAGCCAUUGGGAAGCUGGGCCAGGUGGAUGUCUGCAAGUCUGAGACCAGCUUGAGCUACGUAGUGAAUUCCAGGACUGAAGGUCAAGCCUCGUGCAUUCAGGGUCUGAGGCUCGCCAGCAGGUCCUGCUUUUUGUUUUACAGGGCACGAUCUUCUACAGAUUUCCAUUCGUUCUCUCCCCACACUCCCAUCCCAACCUAUUGAUAUUUUCAAUAUUUCCUUGAACCCCCACUCUUGACUCGUGUUUGGAUUCUGGCUCUUUAUUUUUAUUGCUUGGUUUUGUUAAUUUGCCAUCAAGAUGGAGGUCUGGCUCUGCAACUCUAGCUGGCCUAGACCUGGUGACCCUCCUUCCUCUCUCUCCCAUGUUAUAGGAAUGGACCGCCAUUCUCAGCUCCAGUUUUUAUUCUUCAUAGAAAUCAAGCUUCUCUGAAAAGGGAGAGAGACAGACACAGAGAGUCAGAGAGACAGAGAGAAAUGGUAGAUACUUUGUUUUGUGGCAUAACUGUUUUUCCUCAACUUUUACAUCUUCUGUCAAAUGGUUUUGUCUUCUUCCCAGUAGAAUGGGAAAAGAAUCAGCAGCCACUAGACAGCCACAUACCAGGCCCCAGAAAUGACAGCUACAUAUGCAAAGAUUGAGAAAGGGAUGCUAAUAGGAAUAAAAAGAAUGAAUAAUUGCAAAACAAUAAAUUAUUUAUAUUUUGCUUAUAAAUUAAUAAAGUAGGAAAGAGAAUCUAGAAUCAUAAA